UUUCACUCUCACUCUCCUGGUUCUUAGCCAGCGCAUGGCUCAAGCUUCACAUAGGACGGAGCCCACAAGCAGAAAGUCUGAGAUGUAGCCCAGACUUCUUUUCACUGUAACCGCAAGCUAAAGCCUGCCUUCAGAUUGCUGCUGUGAACUGAAUGUGAGUAAAACCUUAUUCUUACUUUUAUAGAAGACUGUGUUGAGUUAUUAUUAAGAGGAAAAUAAAAGGGGAAACUUAUCAGGAAUAAUCCAGACUGGACAAGUCAGACUGGAUUGCUUAAUUAAAGGAUUCUAACGAAUCAUCAACUUACUUCCAAUAAGUUGCAAAGGGGACGCGGGUGGCGCUGUGGGUAAAACCUCAGCGCCUAGGACUUGCCGAUCGCAUGGUCGGCGGUUCAAAUCCCCGCUGCAGGGUGCGCUCCCGUCGUUCGGUCCCAGCAUCUGCCAACCUAGCAGUUCGAAAGCACCUCUGGGUGCAAGUAGAUAAAUAGGGACCGCUUACCAGCGGGAAGGUAAACGGCGUUCCGUGUGCUGCGCUGGCUCGCCAGAUGCAGCUUGUCACGCUGGCCACGUGACCUGGAAGUGUCUGCGGACAGCGCUGGCCCCCGGCCUAUAGAGUGAGAUGAGCGCACAACCCUAGAGUCUGGCAAGACUGGCCCGUACGGGUGGGGGUACCUUUACCUUUACCUAACGAAUCAUCAACUUACUUCCAGUAAGUUGCAAAGGGAACAUGCUCUGCUGUUUACUCACUAGCGCGGGUGAGGAGAGAUAAUAUCAAAACAAUAUAUCCUCUCCCACCUUCCUUAACAUUCCCACAGGAAGGUAUAGAGAACUUGUGUUUUCCAUCCUGAUUCGAUCGAGCACUACACCCAACCCAGGCAGACAUUGGCUUUUGUGAAAGCUUUCUUGUUCAUUCCUUGUUAGCCAUCUCCCUAGCCUAUAUUUUCUUGGCCCUUUCAUGAGGCAGAAAGUAAAAUAAAAGAACUCUCCUUCCAGAAUUUGCUAAAUGCAAAUUAAAUCAAAACUCUCUCUCUUUCUCUGCAUAUAUGCGAAGCCUCAUGAACGGCUAAAGAACACAACGAAAUACAGUUAUAUUUGCGUUGCAUUCCAAUAUUACAACUUUUAAGUUAGGCAAAUUUGUAUUCUGAACCAAGUAAUUACAAUGUUUCAUACCUAUUCCUCUUGUGAUUACAUUGUGAAAUGUUGAGUAUAGUAUCAUAAGCUCUUACUGGGUAAGGGUUGUAGAACUAUUGAUAAGCUACUAUUCUUCUCCCUUGCUACAGGCUGAAGGGUCAGAAAACCUUGCCAGCCCAGAUGUUGUUGGGCUCCAACUUCUCUUAGUCCCUGCCAACAUAGCCAAUGGCAAUGACAGCUGUAGUCUAACAACAUCUGGAGGACCAUGGGUUCCCUACACUUGCCACAACUGCUUUGUUUUAUAAACUCUAACUACAUAAUUUUAUAAGGUUUCCAGAGCGCCAUGCAUGUGUUUCUCCCUCUUGCCCUAUUUCUUCCUCAGAACAACAACCCUCUUUCUUAGGUUUGGCCAGCCUUUCUUAGCCUUGGGUCCCCAGAUGUUCUUUAACUACAAUUCCAAUCAUCCCUGACCAGUGGGUCAUGCUGGCUAGGAAUGAUGGGAGUUGUGGUCCAACAAGCUCUAGGCACCCAAGGUUGAGAAACGCUGGGGUAGGCUGUGAGACAGUGACUUGCCAAAAGUCACCCAAUGAGCGUUGUGGCUUGAGCCAGGAUCUGGCAGAUCAAAGAUAAUAUCAUUGUUGAAGAGAAGGAAAGAUGGAUGCCCUUAGCAUGAAGGGACUUUUCAUAAACUACCUAGAGGGAGGGGAUCACAUAGAUUCAACCAUUUCCCCUGGUUUGUUCCUGACCCUUCUGUGGAACCAGCAACUUGGAAUGUAAUUAUAGUCAGCAGAAAGGAAGACGUACUAUCAACUUCUGUGGUCAAGGAUAAGCAAUUUGAAGAUCAUCUCUGCCUGUUUCCACUUUUGACACCAAUCACAUUAAAUAUGGCAGUGUUAGAGACUCCAUCUGUUGCAUCAAAACAGCAAGUGUCAAAGCUAUAGGCUGCUGAGAUGCUAACUGAGUUUACUUGCAAGUGUUUUUAAUGGUUUAAUGAUUUCUGUUCACAAUUACACACAUCUAUUGAAACAGUUAAUCAAUGGUUGCUUAUAAGAUGCUUGGCUGGUAGAGGGAAUUAACAGUAAUAUACGUUUGCAUUUUGUAGGAAAGAGCUCACGUGGGCCCCAUGGAACCAUCAACAUCCCUGAGAGGGCUGCUUGCUUGGGCAGCUUUAAAGCCAUGAUGUAAUGUUGCUUCUCUGUUCCAGAGCUACAGCUAAGCACAGAUUUUGCAAGCUGAAGCCUCCAUCUGCAUUUAGAAAAGGCUUUUGACAGAUAUUUUCUGCAAUAAAGCUGAAGAACCCUCAGGUACCGAGUGAAAUUACCAUCCUAGCUUCCAAGUUCCAGCCAGCAGCUAUAACCCAAAGGCCUUAAUCUUCCAACCAAAUAUAAGACUUGAGAUAUACAUAAUAGGAACACCACCAACAGUUGCUCACUAACUCUUUGACCACAGGGAGAGGUGGGUGAGCAAGGAAGCAGCAAUGGCGAGGUGGAGCAGCAGCAGCAGCAGAAGGCCACAGUUCCAUCUGGGCAACCUCAUGAGGCCUGCAUGUGGGGCCAAAUGCAAAAGAAGUGGAGAAACCAGAAGUCUAGUUUCUACACACACUCACAUAUCUUCCAUCUAGGCAAGCCAGAGGCGUUACCAGAGUUCAAUGACACAUUUCAGACAGGCAAAAACACUCAGAGGGUAUGAAGCAGGGUUGGUGAGAGCUGUGGUCUGGGAAGAGUCCUAAGAAUCAUGUAGAGAGGCCCCGAGGGUGACAUUUGGCCCCAGACCUAAGGCUUUCCACUGCUGAUCUAAGUGCAGUGGCUCAUAAGAGCGUAAGAAAAGCCCUGCUGGAUCAGGAUCUACAAAGGAAGCAGGAAGUGUUGGGACAGGAAGUCUAUGGGAGGGUACUCUCUCUCACAGGACCAGCCCACCCAUGAGGCAAGGUGAGGCGACAGCCUCAGGCAGCAGAAUCCACAGGGGUAGCAGAUCCCAAUGUUGGGCUUUCUUCCCUGCUUGUUCCUGAUCUUCCUUCGUGGUGGGGAGGAGUGGCACCAUUUUGCGGUGCGCCUCUGGUGCCAAAAUGUCUUGGGUUGGCCCUGCUCCCUUACUGCAGUUUACUCAGAACAGACUUGCAUGAGCACACCCAGAAUUGAGUAAAGAACUUGCCUCUACUGUUCAAAUGUGACCUAAGUUAACAAAACAGAUGGAAGUGGGUUGAGGGCAUGGGGAGGAGAGUGGGCAGAGCAAGUGAAAAUAACAGAGGCAAAGACAUUGCACUAACCUUCAGUCAUUCGCCGGUACUUAUCCUUGAACAUGAACCCAAAGACCAGACAGCAUCCUCUCUUUGGGAGACCAAGUUCUGCAAAAGACAGCAAAGUAGAUGGUGAUCAGCAAAACUGUUGACUAAAAACGGGAGGCAUUUGCAAAAAACAAAACAAAAAGAAGAAAGUCUGGAUCGGAGUAGAGAGCAUUUUAAAAGACCCUGGUUGGAAGAAAGCUAUUCAAAUAAAGUUUUGAUUUCUUACACAUAGGUUAUAGAGUAGCCUUACUAGGUGCCAAGGUUUCCCUCUACCAACAGGGGAAGGAGAUGUGCUUUUCUGCUGUGGAGGCCCCUGCACAGCUGCACCUGCUGAAAGGCACUCACUAAAGUGCCAGCAGCUGUGGUCAUAAGGCCCUGAAGCAGGGAGUUAACAGCAGUGGUGCAGGAGCAGCACCAGUAACAGAUCCAAAGGCAUUCCACUAUUAUUGUUUCACCAAUAAUUUUCCUAUAAGAUCAGACCCUAUUAUUUCUGACGUCUUGCUUUUACCUGUUCCUGUUUUUAUGUGCUUAUUUACUUAUUUAUUUAUUCUGGCUUACUGAUUUUAUUAUACUGCUUUAUUGUUUGUUUUCUAUAUCUCUUGCAGUUUUUUUUAUUAAAACAAACAAACAAACAAACCAUUAAGUGGUUUAGAAGUGCUUCCCAAUAAAACAAACAAACAGACAAUAGUUUCUGUUUCAUUAGCUGCCACCUAUAUUGAAAGCAUGGGAUAUAUAUUCAAUAUCCAUAUCUGUCUUGUCUAUCUAUAAACACAUGUAUGCAGAGAGUAUGUAAAUAUAUAAACAAAAAUUCCAUGGGCACUAUUCAAUCAGAUGUGACCAAAAUCACUAUAAUUCAGGCACCAAUUCAUUUCAGUGCUAUCAUUCUAUGCCUACCGUAUUGCUGCUUCCCUAUCCUUGGUAUAUUCAAAGAUAUAUCUGGGCUGUGAUGCAAACACCAAUCACAGGAACUGGGUGACUGUACUAAAUCCCAGCACCAACUCUUCCAUUCCUCCCACCUGAAUUGCGUAUGGAUUUUUAAUGAACAAAUCCAGCCCCCCCCCCCCAGUGCCCAGCUAACUUCCACUCCCCAGUGGAAACUCCUUCCCUGAGUGUUUGCUUCAGACGCUCUGUUUAUGUUCAGGAGGAGGCUCAAUAAAUCUCUGCUCUUCAACACAUGCAAGUAAUGAGAGCUCUCUAAUCCCGUUCACUUAGCAGACCGUGUGAUAAAAUAGAACAUGGGACCUUGAAGGAGAGAUAAAUCUGUCUUCAGGCUCCAUGCCCUUUCAAAGCAAAACAGCUGGCCUGUAAAGUGGCUGAACGCCAAGGCCUGAGGAAGUACAUGUCUUUGAUCUCUUGCUUUCUUACAGGAGCUGCCUGGCUAUCAGCAAAAAGGCAGAGAAAUGGAUCUAAGCAUGGGUUUUUCCCAAAAAAGGGAGACAGCCGUCUGUGUGUGUUUUCCACCUUCACCAUGCAUCUGAAUGUGUAUAUAUAUCUUGCGGUGCGUAAAAACACCUUGCAGAUUCUUCAAACAAAACCACCUCAUGGCACAGCAGAAAGAAUUAAG